CGGAAAGGCGUAGUAGGCACCACAGCAACCGUUGUCGUAGAAACGAAGCUGUCAAUGAGGGCAGCCACACCUCCAGCCCUACCCUCUGCGGUGGUGGAUUCUCUCGCGUGACCCCGUGAAGUUCUACCUGCAUUUCAUGGGUGUAUGCUACCCUCACCCCGCCGGAGUCCUACCCAUCUUCAAAGCCCAGUUCACAACUGCACUACCUGCAUGAGCCAACCAAAAUUCCCUUCAACAAGAAACAAUCUUUCCAGCCUCUGGCCACUGACCACAUUUCCACUCAACUAUCAGUUCUGAGAGAAGGACCUCAGAAGAGGUUUGUUUUAAAAAUCACCACAGCUUCCUAGCACUCAAAAGAGACAGCUAUUACUAACCACAUGAAACUAGACCACACAACUUCCAAUUUGUUUUAGUAUCCUCUCCCCCCAAAAACCAAACCAAACCAAACCAAACCAAACCAAAACAAAACAAAACAAAACAAAACUGUAGUAUAGAACACUUACCUUUGGUGGAGAACUCUGUACAACCAGAUCAACCUCAGGGAUGUCUAACCCACGAGCAGCAACAUUGGUUGCAACCAAGACUCCAAAAUCACCAUUUCUAAAACCUUUCAGAGUGAUUUCUCUCUGCUUCUGAGGAAUAUCUCCAUGUAAUGACUGGGCAUCCUGCCAAAGAAAUAAACUGGCAUAAGAACACCAGAUCCAACAAUCCAGCUACUUUUAACACAACAAAUGAGGCCUGUAAGGACAUUCGGAUUUUGGUGAUAGUUCUGCUGAAAAUAACGUAAAGGGAAAAACAUAUGCCUUACACGGACAAGCCUCAAAUUUUUUCUACUCCUUGGUCGUUAGAUCAACUGUGUCCAGCUAUAUUUACUAGGUAAAAAACACUAGACAGACUGAUCAAACCUACUUUGUCAGUGUAACCUUGGGUUUGAGACACUGUUUCCUCAUCUGUGAGAGGAGACUGUCAGAUCAGGUGAACUCUGAAAUGUUAAUGGGGUCUAUCAGUUGAAAGAUGCUUCCUCCCUACAGGAAAAAGGGGGAAGAACCAACCUGCUUUAUGGACACAUUCUGUGACAACUCCUGGGCUUCUUUCUUGGUCUCGCAGAAGAUGAUAGUGCGCCCGUGAAAACCACUAUAUACUCGGAUCACAUCCCCAAUAACUGCUGCCCUCUGAGUCCAGUGGCACUUGAUAGCCAGGUGCUUAUAGGAGUGGAAAAAAGAUCUAUUUAGUAAAGCCCACCUGGAACCGGAAAUCACCUGCUCAACACCAGCGGUGCUAGAAGCAAUUGUUUAAUAUGGACUAGAGCAGACUGCCGCCACCACUGUGUAGAGAAAAAAACCCAAACUCAUUAACACAGAGAGCCAUUCCCCUUUCUCCAAAGAGCAUCUGGUUCCUCUGUUUUCUGAACUAACAAGGAAAACAAAAGAAGAAAUGCCAUUCCCUUGAUUCCUACAGGAAACCAAGGAAUUGACCAGAGAAAAAUUUCAGUAUUUUUUUUGUCCUUUCACCCACUUAAAACUGCGAUUAGUCAGUUAGCGUGUAUGUCUAUUCCUUGGGUGAAAGGAAUUCUAGGUGCUGGGCCCUAAAAUGAAAACAGCUUCAAAACAAAGUACUAGAUAUCUCUGCUGCCCUUGAGUGUUUAAAUUCUAGGUGUUGGGGCACCUGGCUGGCUCAAUUGGUAGAGCAUGCAACUCUUGGGAUUAUGCGUUUAAGCCCCACAUUUUGUGUAGAGACAACUUAAAAACAUAAUCUUAAAAAAAAAAAAAAAAGUCAAUCAAUUCUAGUGUAAUUUCUUUCUAUUUACAAAAUUCAGACAGAUAGAUUCCGAAAGAUUUUGAAAUCAGAGUACCAGAUAAUGAAACUUAGAGAACACAGAUAACCACACACAACACAAACAGAAAUAGAUCUUUACUUGGAUCCUCACAUGGAUUUAGUAUUUAUCUGGAAAAACAGUUUGUAUUUUCCAGUCUUAAUAUUAUCAGACAGGGAAAAAAUGAUAUACAAAAUUCUAACUGAAUAAAUCAUUUACCUCCACA